UACGAAGGGGGCUAGCGUUGCUCGGAAUUACUGGGCGUAAAGCGCACGUAGGCGGCUUCUUAAGUCGGGGGUGAAAUCCUGGAGCUCAACUCCAGAACUGCCUUCGAUACUGGGAAGCUCGAGUUCGGGAGAGGUGAGUGGAACUGCGAGUGUAGAGGUGAAAUUCGUAGAUAUCCGCAAGAACACCAGUGGCGAAGGCGGCUCGCUGGCCCGAUACUGACGCUGAGGUGCGAAAGCCAGGGGAGCAAACGGG
rnacentral:rRNA from 1 species